UUUUCCCACCCCAUCCCCAUCCCUUCCCACCCUCCCCAUCCUGGUCCUGGCUUGCGACCGCACUUCUGUCCGCCGCUGUUUGGAUUCUUUACUCCGCUAUCGUCCUUCGGCCCAACGCUUCCCCAUCAUCGUCAGCCAAGACUGCGGGCACCGCGAAACGGCGGCCGUCAUCUCAUCCUACGGCGAUUCCAUCACCCACCUUCAUCCUCCCCACGGAUCCGAAGCUCCAUCCGUCCCGGAUGAACACCGCAAAUUCUUGGGUUACUACAAAAUCUCCCGUCAUUACCGCCUUUGGUGCGUCUCCGCUUGGCACGACAACGGCAAGGAGCAGCUGGUGGACGCCGCUCGACCGGAGCUGCUGUACCGCACCGAUUUCUUCCCCGGUUUGGGUUGGCUGCUGACCGAACGCCUUUGGGACGAGCUGGAGCCCAAGUGGCCGCCCGCUUUUUGGGACGAUUGGAUGCGGCAACCCGAGCAGCGCCGCGGCCGGGCGUGCGUGAGGCCGGAGGUGUCCCGCACCGUCACGUUCGGCCGCAAGGGCGUCAGCCACGGCCAGUUCUUCGAGCAGCACCUGCGGCACAUGGCGCUCAACCGCCGCUUCGUGCCCUUCACCCGCAUGGACCUCGGCUACCUGCGGCGCGACGCCUUCGACCGCCGCUGGGCGGCGCAGCUGAGCGCCGCCCGCCCCGUGCGCCUGGACGAGCUGCGGGCCGGCGGCGGCGGCGGCGGCGGCGGGGCGCUGCGGCUGCGCUACGGAGGCAGGGACGCGUUCCGCGCCGCCGCCAAGGCCCUGGGGCUCAUGGACGACCUGAAGGCCGGCGUGCCCAGGGCCGCCUACCGCGGCGUCGUCACCUUCGUGCACCGCGGGCGCCGCGUCUACCUGGCGCCCGACGAGGGCUGGGCGGGCUACGACUCGUCGUGGGGCUGACGGGCUGCAAUGAAGUGGCGACCGAGCACGGGAUGCGUGCGCUGCUCAGGGCGCGGUGCGGGGCUGGCGCCGUGGGGGCCGCGCGGGGAGCCGGGCGAGACACGGGCGGAGCCGAGGCGAGACACAGAGAGCCGGUGCCAGCCGCAGAGGGAGCCCAAGGGAGCCACGUAGGGAGCCCAAGGGAGCCACAGAGGGAGCCAAGGCGAGCCACGUGGAGAGCCGGUGCCAGCCGCAUAGGGAGCCAGGGCAAGCCACUUAGAGAGCUGAUGCAAGCCACUUAGAGUGCCAGUGCCAGCCGCAGAGGGAGCCA
rnacentral:lncRNA from 1 species